rnacentral:rRNA from 1 species
UACCAGCUCUCCGAGUGGUGUGGAUGUUUAUUGGGCCUAAAGCAUCCGUAGCUGGCCAAGUUAGUCCCCUGUUAAAUCCACCGAAUUAAUCGUUGGAGUGCGUGGGAUACUGCUCGGCUAGGGGACGGGAGAGGCCGACGGUAUUUUCGGGGUAGGGGUGAAAUCCUAUAAUCCCGGGAAGACCACCAGUGGCGAAGGCUGUCGGCUAGAACGCGCCCGACGGUGAGGGAUGAAAGCUGGGGGAGCGAACCGGAUUAGAUACCCGGGUAGUCCCAGCUGUAAACGAUGCAGGCUAGGUGUUUGGGCGGCCACGGGCCGCUCUAGUGCCGCAAGGAAGCUGUUAAGCCUGCCGCCUGGGGAGUACGGCAGCAAGGCUGAAACUUAAAGGAAUUGGCGGGGGAGCACCACAAGGGGUGAAGCUUGCGGUUU